UGUAGCUCAGGUGUGUAGCUCAGGUGUGUAACUCAGGUGUGUAGCUCAGGUGUGUAACUGUCAGGUGUGUAACUCAGGUGUGUAACUGUCAUGUGUGUAACUCAGGUGUGUAGCUCAGGUGUGUAACUGUCAGGUGUGUAACUCAGGUGUGUAGCUCAGGUGUGUAACUCAGGUGUGUAGCUCAGGUGUGUAACUCAGGUGUGUAACUGUCAUGUGUGUAACUCAGGUGUGUAGCUCAGGUGUGUAACUGUCAGGUGUGUAACUCAGGUGUGUAGCUCAGGUGUGUAACUCAGGUGUGUAGCUCAGGUGUGUAACUCAGGUGUGUAACUGUCAUGUGUGUAACUCAGGUGUGUAGCUCAGGUGUGUAACUGUCAGGUGUGUAACUCAGGUGUGUAGCUCAGGUGUGUAACUCAGGUGUGUAGCUCAGGUGUGUAACUCAGGUGUGUAACUGUCAUGUGUGUAACUCAGGUGUGUAACUCAGGUGUGUAACUGUCAUGUGUGUAACUCAGGUGUGUAGCUCAGGUGUGUAACUCAGGUGUGUAGCUGUCGUGUGUAACUCAGGUGUGUAACUGUCAUGUGUGUAGCUCAGGUGUGUAACUCAGGUGUGUAGCUGUCAGGUGUGUAGCUCAGGUGUGUAACUGUCAUGUGUGUAGCUCAGGUGUGUAACUCAGGUGUGUAGCUCAGGUGUGUAACUGUCAGGUGUGUAACU